rnacentral:rRNA from 1 species
UGGUUGAUCCUGCCAGUAGUCAUAUGCUUGUCUCAAAGAUUAAGCCAUGCAUGUCUAAGUAUAAGCAAUCUAUACCGUGAAACUGCGAAUGGCUCAUUAAAUCAGUUAUCGUUUAUUUGAUAGUACCUUACUACUUGGAUAACCGUGGUAAUUCUAGAGCUAAUACAUGCUAAAAACCCCGACUUCGGAAGGGGUGUAUUUAUUAGAUAAAAAACCAAUGCCCUUCGGGGCUCCUUGGUGAUUCAUAAUAACUUAACGAAUCGCAUGGCCUUGUGCCGGCGAUGGUUCAUUCAAAUUUCUGCCCUAUCAACUUUCGAUUGUAGAGUAGUGGUCUACAAUGGUUUCAACGGGUAACGGGGAAUUAGGGUUCUAUUCCGGAGAGGGAGCCUGAGAAACGGCUACCACAUCCAAGGAAGGCAGCAGGCGCGCAAAUUACCCAAUCCCGACACGGGGAGGUAGUGACAAUAAAUACUGAUACAGGGCUCUUUUGGGUCUUGUAAUUGGAAUGAGUACAAUUUAAAUCCCUUAACGAGGAACAAUUGGAGGGCAAGUCUGGU